rnacentral:rRNA from 1 species
AUACGGAGGGGACAAGCGUUGUUCGGAAUCAUUGGGCGUAAAGCGGGUGUAGGCGGCUUGGCAAGUCGGGUGUGAAAUCCCUGGGCUCAACCCAGGAACUGCACUCGAAACUGCCUCGCUAGAGUCCCGGAGAGGGUGGCGGAAUUCCCGGUGUGGAGGUGAAAUUCGUAGAUAUCGGGAGGAACACCAGUGGCGAAGGCGGCCACCUGGACGGUGACUGACGCUCAGACCCGAAAGCGUGGGGAGCAAACAGGAUUAGAAACCCCAGUAGUCC